rnacentral:rRNA from 1 species
AUACGAAGGGGGCUAGCGUUGUUCGGAAUUACUGGGCGUAAAGCGCGCGUAGGCGGAUUGGUCAGUUAGGGGUGAAAUCCCAGGGCUUAACCCUGGAAUUGCCUCUAAUACUGCCAGUCUUGAGUUCGGGAGAGGUGAGUGGAAUUCCUAGUGUAGAGGUGAAAUUCGUAGAUAUUAGGAAGAACACCAGUGGCGAAGGCGGCUCACUGGCCCGAUACUGACGCUGAGGCGCGAAAGCGUGGGGAGCAAACAGGAUUAGAAACCCUAGUAGUCC